UUGGAGGGCAAGUCUGGUGCCAGCAGCCGCGGUAAUUCCAGCUCCAAUAGCGUAUAUUAAAGUUGUUGCAGUUAAAAAGCUCGUAGUUGAAUUUCGGGAUCAAUAUAUCGGUCGUGCCUUUGGUACGUACUGGUAUCAUUGAUUUCUCCCUUCUGACGAAUCAUGAUGUCAUUAAUUUGGUGUUAUGAGGAGUUAGGACUGUUACUUUGAAAAAAUUAAAGUGUUUAAAGCAGGCAUUAGCUUGAAUACAUUAGCAUGGAAUAAUGAAAUAGGACGUUUGAUCCUAUUUUGUUGGUUUUUAGGAUCGACGUAAUGAUUAAUAGGGAUAGUUGGGGGCAUUAGUAUUCAAUUGUCAGAGGUGAAAUUCUUGGAUUUAUUGAAGACUAACUACUGCGAAAGCAUUUGCCAAGGAUGUUUUCAUUAAUCAAGAACGAAAGUUAGGGGAUCGAAGACGAUCAGAUACCGUCGUAGUCUUAACCAUAAACUAUGCCGACUAGGGAUCGGAUGAUGUUAAUUUUAUAAUGACUCAUUCGGCGCCUUACGGGAAAC
rnacentral:rRNA from 1 species